rnacentral:rRNA from 1 species
GACGAACGCUGGCGGCGUGCCUAAUACAUGCAAGUAGAACGCAAAGUUUAUACUGUAGCUUGCUACACCAUAGACGGUGAGUUGCGAACGGGUGAGUAACGCGUAGGUAACCUGUCUGGUAGCGGGGGAUAACUAGUGGAAAUGAUAGCUAAUAGCGCAUAAUACUAAUUAUUGCAUGAUAAUUAAUUGAAAGGUGCAAUUGCAUCACUACCAGAUGGACCUGCGUUGGAUUAGCUAGUAGGUGAGGUAAAGGCUCACCUAGGCGACGAUACAUAGACGACCUGCGAGGGUGGUCGGCCACACUGGGACUGUGACACGCCCCAGUCGCCUACGGGAGGCAGCAGUAGGGAAUCUUCGGCAAUGGACGAAAGUCUGACCGAACAACGCCGCGGCAGGGAAGAAGGUUUUCGGGUCGUAAAGCUCUGUUGUAAGGGAAGAACGGGUGUGAGAGUGGAAAGUUCACACUGUGACGGUAUCUUACCAGAAAGAAACGGCUAACUACGUG